rnacentral:rRNA from 1 species
GACGAACGCUGGCGGCGUGCUUAACACAUGCAAGUCGAACGGAAAGGCCCUGCUUUUGUGGGGUGCUCGAGUGGCGGACGGGUGAGUAACACGUGAGUAACCUGCCCUUGACUUUGGGAUAACUUCAGGAAACUGGGGCUAAUACCGGAUAGGAGCUCCUGCUGCAUGGUGGGGGUUGGAAAGUUUCGGCGGUUGGGGAUGGACUCGCGGCUUAUCAGCUUGUUGGUGGGGUAGUGGCUUACCAAGGCUUUGACGGGUAGCCGGCCUGAGAGGGUGACCGGCCACAUUGGGACUGAGAUACGGCGCAGAGUCCAACGGGAGGCAGCAGUGGGGAAUAUUGCACAAUGGGCGGAAGCCUGAUGCAGCAACGCCGCGUGCGGGAUGACGGCCUUCGGGUUGUAAACCGCUUUCGCCUGUGACGAAGCGUGAGUGACGGUAAUGGAUAAAGAAGCACCGGCUAACUACGUG